rnacentral:rRNA from 1 species
AUGUGUGUUUGUUUUGUAUGGAACUCACUUCUUAGGCAUCUUUAUGUACAUUUUGGAUUUAUUUUGCGGAAAUCUGACCUCCCAGAUUACCUUAUACCAAAGAUGGGGAUGGUGUUCAAGGACUUCGAUGCAGGCAAAGUGUUCUACAAUAGAUACGCUAGGCACGCUGGCUUUGGAAUAAGAAUUGGACAGGAGAGUGGUUUCAAUAGAUACAUGUACAACACACGUGAAGGGAAGAAUGCGAGCUCUGUUUCUGAAUCUGAGCGCCAGCGGGACAAGACGACAAAGCGAUGUGGAUGCAAGGCGAAGCUGCGAUUAAAGGGGAAUGAGCAUGAUGAUACAGUAGUCAUUGUCGACAUCAAUAUUGAGCACAACCACCAACUAAUAUAG